AGAAUCAACGCUGGCGGCGUGCCUAACACAUGCAAGUCGAACGAGAAAGGGUAGCAAUACCUGAGUAAAGUGGCGCACGGGUGAGUAACACGUGACUAACCUACCCUGGAGUGGGGGAUAACUGAGGGAAACCUUAGCUAAUACCGCAUAAUACCUACGGGUCAAAGGAGCAAUUCGCUUCAGGAGGGGGUCGCGGCCGAUUAGUUAGUUGGCGGGGUAAUGGCCCACCAAGACGAUGAUCGGUAUCCGGCCUGAGAGGGCGCACGGACACACUGGAACUGAAACACGGUCCAGACUCCUACGGGAGGCAGCAGUGGGGAAUUUUGCGCAAUGGGGGAACCCUGACGCAGCAACGCCGCGUGGAGGAUGAAGUCCUUCGGGACGUAAACUCCUUUCGAUCGGGACGAUUAUGACGGUACCGGAAGAAGAAGCCCCGGCUAACUUCGUGCCAGCAGCCGC
rnacentral:rRNA from 1 species